rnacentral:rRNA from 1 species
UACGUAGGGGGCAAGCGUUGUCCGGAAUCAUUGGGCGUAAAGCGCGUGUAGGCGGCUGGCUAAGUCCGCUCUGAAAGCCCGGGGCUCAACCCCGGGAGGCGGGUGGAUACUGGUCAGCUCGAGUCCGGAAGAGGAGUGUGGAAUUCCUGGUGUAGCGGUGAAAUGCGCAGAUAUCAGGAGGAACACCAAUAGCGAAGGCAGCUCGCUGGGACGGUACUGACGCUAAGGCGCGAAAGCGUGGGGAGCGAACAGG